GGGCCCGUAGCUCAACGGCAGAGCAACCGGCUCAUAACCGGUCGGUUGCAGGUUCGAAUCCUGCCGGGCCCACCA
rnacentral:tRNA from 1 species